rnacentral:rRNA from 1 species
UACGUAGGGUCCUAGCGUUGUCCGGAUUUAUUGGGCGUAAAGAGCUCGUAGGCGGUUCGGCAAGUCGGGUGUGAAAACUCCGGCUCAACUCGGAGACGCCACUCGAUACUGCCAUGACUCGAGUCCGGUAGGGGAGUGCGGAAUUCCUGGUGUAGCGGUGAAAUGCGCAGAUAUCAGGAGGAACACCGGUGGCGAAGGCGGCACUCUGGGCCGGUACUGACGCUGAGGAGCGAAAGCGUGGGGAGCGAACAGGA